UGCAAGUCGAACGGCAGCACAGAGGAGCUUGCUCCUUGGGUGGCGAGUGGCGGACGGGUGAGGAAUACAUCGGAAUCUACUCUGUCGUGGGGGAUAACGUAGGGAAACUUACGCUAAUACCGCAUACGACCUACGGGUGAAAGCAGGGGAUCUUCGGACCUUGCGCGAUUGAAUGAGCCGAUGUCGGAUUAGCUAGUUGGCGGGGUAAAGGCCCACCAAGGCGACGAUCCGUAGCUGGUCUGAGAGGAUGAUCAGCCACACUGGAACUGAGACACGGUCCAGACUCCUACGGGAGGCAGCAGUGGGGAAUAUUGGACAAUGGGCGCAAGCCUGAUCCAGCCAUACCGCGUGGGUGAAGAAGGCCUUCGGGUUGUAAAGCCCUUCUGUUGGGAAAGAAAUCCAGCCGGCUAAUACCUGGUUGGGAUGACGGUACCCAAAGAAUAAACACCGGCUAACUUCGUGCCAGCAGCCGCGGUAAU
rnacentral:rRNA from 1 species